UACGUAGGGGGCUAGCGUUGUCCGGAAUCAUUGGGCGUAAAGAGCGUGUAGGCGGUCCGGUAAGUCCGCUGUGAAAGUCGGGGGCUCAACCCGUCGAAUGCCGGUGGAUACUGUCGGGCUAGAGUGCAGAAGGGGCAACUGGAAUCCGUCGGUGUAGCGGUGAAAUGCGUAGAUAAUCAAGAGGAACACCAGUGGCGAAGGCGAGUCCCUGGACGAAUACCUGACACUGAGCACGAAAGCCAAGGGAGCGAAACAGGA
rnacentral:rRNA from 1 species